ACCGGCAGCUCUCUCUCUGCAACUCUCACAUGGUCGCCCACUGAAGCUAAGCAGGGCUGCGCCCGGUCAGUACCUGGAUGGGAGACCACAUGGGAAAGCUAGGUUGCUGCUGUAA
rnacentral:rRNA from 1 species